rnacentral:misc_RNA from 1 species
UUGAAUCUUAAUGAGGAGUUUGGUUGUAGCUGGCCCAUUCAUUUGGGCAUGUGCACACCUUCCUCUUUCAUCCCACACACACCUGUGAACCUGUGAGACAGAGAUGGGGAAUUUACUUGCUGCUUUUUGGAAUACAAAGGCAAUAGGUUAUUGGACCCCCCCUCUGUCUACUCAAUUAAUAUAAACUCAAUUUAUUUUAAAACGAAUGUAAUGGAUGUAACACAUCUCAUAC